rnacentral:rRNA from 1 species
AUCCGCUAUAGGAUAGGAUCGUGCUCGAUUAUGGUUGUUGGUGAGGUAACGGCUCACCAAGCCGAUAAUCGAUAGGGGCUGUGAGAGCGGGAGCCCCGAGAUGGGUACUGAGACAGCGACCCAGGCCUUACGAGGCGCAGCAGGCGCGGAACCUCCGCAAUACACGAAAGUGUGACGGGUUACCCAAAGUGUUCAAUUAUGAACUGUGGUAGGUGAGUAAUGUCCCCUACUAGAAAGGAGAGGGCAAGGCUGGUGCCAGCCGCCGCGGUAAAACCAGCUCUUCAAGUGGUCGGGAUAAUUAUUGGGCUUAAAGUGUCCGUAGCCGGUUUAGUAAGUUCCUGGUAAAAUCAGGUAGCCUAACUAUCUGCAUGCUAGGAAUACUGCUAUACUAGAGGACGGGAGAGGUCUUAGGUACUACAGGGGUAGGGGUGAAAUCUUAUAAUCCUUGUAGGACCACCAGUGGCGAAGGCGUCAGACUGGAACGUGCCUGACGGUGAGGGACGAAAGCCAGGGGAGCGAACCGGAUUAGAUACCCGGGUAGUCCUGGCCGUAAACGAUGCAUACUAGGUGAUGGCAUGGCCAUGAGCCGUGUCAGUGCCGUAGGGAAACCGUUAAGUGUGCCGCCUGGGAAGUACGGUCGCAAGGCUAAAACUUAAAGGAAUUGGCGGGGGAGCACCACAAGGGGUGAAGCCUGCGGUUCAAUUGGACCCAACGCCGGGAAACUUACCAGGGGAGACAGCAGAAUGAUGGUCAGGUUGACGACCUUACCUGACGAGCUGAGAGGAGGUGCAUGGCCGUCGCCAGUUCGUGCUGUGAGGUAUCCUGUUAAGUCAGGCAACGAACGAGAUCCGCGCCUUUAUUUGCCAGCAAGAAGUCACGACUUCGUUGGGAACACUAAAGGGACCGCCAUCGAUAAGAUGGAGGAAGGAGCGGGCAAAGGCAGGUCAGUAUGCCCCGAAACCCCUGGGCUACACGCGGGCUGCAAUGGUAUGAACAAUGGGCUGUGACUCCGAAAGGAGAAACCAAUCCCGAAAUCAUAUCUCAGUGGGGAUUGUCGGCUGUAACCCGCUGACAUGAACGUGGAAUCCCUAGUAAUCGUGUGUCAUCAUCGCACGGUGAAUACGUCUCUGCUCCUUGCACACACCGCCCGUCGCUCCACCCGAGUGUGCUAAAAAUGAGGUUUGGUCAGUUUGGUCAUAUCGAGUUUCUAGUAUGCGA